AGUUUUUAAAUCAGUCUAAUUCUUUAUUCCUAAGUAACAACAUUUUAAUUCGUACUUAAAUUUAAAAAAACUUUGACAAUGUUCAUUGGUCCGGUUCAAAAAGAACAUCUGCACAUGAUGAUUCUUGGCUGUGGGUGGCCGUGUGGAUGCCUGAGUGGACCCUGUUGCGGUGGAUGCUGUGGUGGAGGAUGUGGCGGCUGCUGCUGAAUCUAUUUGAUACCUUGGUGCACCUGGACCAGGACCAAUGUAUAUUAAGACUUCAAGCAAAGGAAAUGCGAUUCUCAGCAAUUUUUAACAAAUCCCACAGCUGUUGCUAUUAACUAUAAAUAAAAAUUGUGAAUUUGCAUAAUAUA